CUGCGAUAGAGAAUUUUCCUUAGUGGAAGUUUCCUGGGAAAGGUUCUCAGACCUGCGGGGACUGAAGGAAGCAGCCUACGGCAGAAGACAAGGGAACCUGACCUACUACUACAGUUGGUGCUGGGAGUGGUUCCUAGGAAACAGACUCUAAAAUGGGAAUCUGAGCUGGAUUAUCCACGGCCCGUUGGCAGCUUCCCUCCCUAGUUCAGUUCAAGUGCUGUGGGCUCACCUCCACUAGGGGUUGCCUUCUGGUGCCUGUCUUCCUCUCCGCCGCUGCUACCGCUGUCUUCAGCUGCUGAGAAUGUCAGCUGCCGGGUGUGCCAGCCACUUGCCUCCAUGGGGACUGUGAAACAGCAGGCAGAUGCCAUCGCUCAAGUGAUGGCCCCUCGUGGGACGACCCACAGCUAAUACCAGCUGAUGAGGGGCCUUAAGGGCCAGCCUCCUUGCCUCAGCUUAGAACAACUCUUCCCUUUGUGUCUGCAAAA